rnacentral:rRNA from 1 species
GAUGAACGCUGGCGGCGUGCCUAAUACAUGCAAGUCGAGCGAACGGACGAGAAGCUUGCUUCUCUGAUGUUAGCGGCGGACGGGUGAGUAACACGUGGAUAACCUACCUAUAAGACUGGGAUAACUUCGGGAAACCGUAGCUAAUACCGGAUAAUAUUUUGAACCGCAUGGUUCAAAAGUGAAAGACGGUCUUGCUGCCACUUAUAGAUGGAUCCGCGCUGCAUUAGCUAGUUGGUAAGGUAACGGCUUACCAAGGCAACGAUGCAUAGCCGACCUGAGAGGGUGAUCGGCCACACUGGAACUGAGACACGGUCCAGACUCCUACGGGAGGCAGCAGUAGGGAAUCUUCCGCAAUGGGCGAAAGCCUGACGGAGCAACGCCGCGUGAGUGAUGAAGGUCUUCGGAUCGUAAAACUCUGUUAUUAGGGAAGAACAUAUGUGUAAGUAACUGUGCACAUCUUGACGGUACCUAAUCAGAAAGCCACGGCUAACUACGUG